rnacentral:rRNA from 1 species
CCUUUAACAGGGGGAUAACACUGAGAAAUUGGUACUAAUACCCCAUAAUAUCAUAGAAGGCAUCUUUUAUGGUUGAAAAUUCCGAUGGUUAGAGAUGGGCAUGCGUUGUAUUAGCUAGUUGGUGGGGUAACGGCUCACCAAGGCGACGAUACAUAGGGGGACUGAGAGGUUAACCCCCCACACUGGUACUGAGACACGGACCAGACUCCUACGGGAGGCAGCAGUGAGGAAUAUUGGUCAAUGGACGCAAGUCUGAACCAGCCAUGCCGCGUGCAGGAUGACGGCUCUAUGAGUUGUAAACUGCUUUUGUACGAGGGUAAACGCAGAUACGUGUAUCUGUCUGAAAGUAUCGUACGAAUAAGGAUCGGCUAACUCCGUGCCAGCAGCCGCGGUAAUACGGAGGAUUCAAGCGUUAUCCGGAUUUAUUGGGUUUAAAGGGUGCGUAGGCGGUUUGAUAAGUUAGAGGUGAAAUUUCGGGGCUCAACCCUGAACGUGCCUCUAAUACUGUUGAGCUAGAGAGUAGUUGCGGUAGGCGGAAUGUAUGGUGUAGCGGUGAAAUGCUUAGAGAUCAUACAGAACACCGAUUGCGAAGGCAGCUUACCAAACUAUAUCUGACGUUGAGGCACGAAAGCGUGGGGAGCAAACAGGAUUAGAUACCCUGGUAGUCCACGCAGUAAACGAUGAUAACUCGUUGUCGGCGAUACACAGUCGGUGACU